UACAGCAACAGGCACACAACCAAGCUUAGUAGUAGGACCUGGGUCACUUUCUGUCGGAAAUGCUCUGGCAGCUCCAACAUCAACAGCUUCAUUAAGUGGCGCCACUGCACACACCAAGCCACCAGGAGAUCCUCAGCCAGGGCAAUUGGUUUAUGGACAGAGCUUGAUGGGGCAACAGCCCACCUUGCAAGCCUACUCGGCUAUCCCACCAGGUGACCUGACUAUGGAGAUAGGAGAUCACCUUACUCAGGGAACCAUUGAUAAAAUCUUGAGAGGGGAGUAUGUUGAUAUAUUUUCAUUAUUACAUAGGGAAAUUGAGAAAAAAGAUUGGGAACUACUGGAUGACAAAGAAAGGCAAACGGUGAAGAGACGAAAAGUGGAUAGAACCUGGCGUAACUGGUUAGCAGGUUAUAUUAUUUACAUGGGAGUCAUUGUUAGGGUCCAGCCAUGGUGGGCUUAUGCCCUGACCAAAUACUUAGACAUUAUACAUAAAGCUUAUGCAGACUAUCAAGGCCCCGCAUGGCUCUCUUAUGAUGAGGCUUUCCGUUUGAAGGCAGCCUCCUUUCCUACUUUGCCGUGGGACAGGCCAUUUCCUGAGAUGUGGAUGAGGAUCAUGAACUCUGCCCGCCCCAUGCUAGGGGACAGGUCACACAGUGGCCAUUUGUUGGCAAAGACUAGUUUUUCCCCUAACAAUGCUAGCUUCAAACAAGGGGAGCAGAAUAAACACUGCUGGGAAUUUGGGAUUCAGGGCAGUUGCAAUAGAAAGAUGUGCCGAUUUAAGCAUGAGUGUUCAUUGUGCAAAGGACCGCAUUCCUUUCGUAACUGUUCAAAAGGACGCGGCAUCGCACAAGUUGUGGGUCAGUCAGGCAAAAGAAACCAAAGUAAUGCCCAGGGGAAUCAAGGAACCUCCCAAUUACCUUCUAAAGGGCCCCAGCCCAAUUAAAUUGGAAAACAUGAAGGGCUGGUUGGCUGAUUACCCAAAUCGUAUUGCUGCCAGUUAUUUGCUACUGGGUUUUUCUGAAGGUUUUCGAAUUCCAUUUCAUGGGGAUAGGCGACCUUUUAAGUCGGGUAACCUCCGGUCCAUUGUUGAAAUGGAGGAUACAGUUCGCCACAAGAUACAAAAAGAGGUUUGGGAAGGACGUGUGGUGGGUCCCUUUGAGACCCCCCCCUGUUCCAAAUCUGAGGGUCUCACCAUUGGGAAUUGUGCCAAAGAAGGCCCCUGGAGACUUUCGCCUCAUACAUCACCUCUCAUUUCCCAAAGGGGAAUCUGUAAAUGAUGCCAUCCCAUCCGAAUUAUGUUCCGUGCGGUACACGUCAUUCGAUGACACUGUUUUGAGAGUUAGAAGGCAGGGUCCUGGAGCAGAAUUAGCAAAAUGUGACAUUAAGUCAGCUUUUCGCCUGCUCCCGGUUCACCCUCAGGAUUUUGAGUUACUGGGGUUCUGUUUUGAAGGGGCAUACUAUAUAGACAGAGCCCUGCCUAUGGGUUGUUCUGUAUCCUGUAAUGCCUUCGAGCAAUUCAGUUCAUUCUUGGAGUGGGCUAUUAGAAAGAAAUCUGGCCUUUCAGGGGUAGCACACUACCUGGAUGACUUCCUGUUCAUCGGCAAAGCAGGAACAAGUCAGUGCAGAUACCUAAUGCAGCAAUUUCACCAAUUGGCUGAUCACUUCGGAGUCCCCCUGGCACACGAGAAAACUGAGGGGCCAGCCACGGUACUCACUUUUUGGGGAUUAAAAUUGAUACAGUGGCUCAUAGCUGUCGACUGCCAUUGGAUAAGUUAGAAAACCUGAAAGGUAAGUUAAGUAGUUUUUUAGGUCGCCGUAAAGCGACACUCAGAGAAUUUCAAGAGCUCAUGGGGCAUCUUAAUUUCGCCUGUCGAGUGGUUGCUCCAGGUAGGGCCUUUUUGCGUUGUUUAUGCGAGGCUACGUGUGGCAUCACCAAGCCCCACCACAGAAUAGCUAUAUCUCGGGGCAUCCGAGACGACCUGAUUACUUGGGCAGAGUUCUUAUACUCUUACAAUGGUGUCUCUUUUUGGAGACAUGACUUGCAGUUGUGUGAUGCUCUGAAGGUCUCGUCGGAUGCCUCUGGAUCUGUGGGCUUUGGAGUUUACUUUAAUGGCCAGUGGUGCACAGAACGUUGGCCAGUUCAGUGGUCCUCUGCAGGAGUAUUAUCUGAUUUAACCUUUUUGGAGUUUUUCCCUAUAGUAGUAGCUGUUUGGCUAUGGGCCUCUGACUUCGCCAACAGUACAGUUCACUUUUGGUGUGACAACGCAGCCACAGUUCAGGUCAUUAAUUCAAUGACAUCACGGUCACCAAUAACAAUGCAUUUGCUUCGGGCGUUUGUUUUGCAGUGCCUCCGGUACAAUAUUGUGUUUUUAGCUCAUCACAUUGCGGGAGUAAAUAAUGGUAUAGCCGAUGCUCUCUCCCGCCAACAGAUGGAUCGUUUCAGGGAGCUCGCUCCGCAAGCAUCUGUGACCCCCACAGUGAUGCCUUACAGUCUAUGGAGCCUUGGCGGGGUGAGGUUAACCGGGCCAUUGGAGUCACUCUAGCUAACAACACCAGAGUGGGUUAUCGUAAGUCUGAAGAGGUCCUUCCGGUCUACACAUGGCCUCGGCAAUCCUUGGCCUAUCCCGGUAGAGCACAUCCUUCAUUUCUGUGUUUUCUUGCACAACAAGAGUUUGGCCCCAGCCACAAUUAGGAAGAAAUUGUCUGCAUUGACAUUUGUCUCCCAAGCUCAAGGGUACCCAAACCCAACCAAUAGUUUCAGGGUUCGUAAGAUAUUGGAAGGGUGGUCCCGGGAACGGGGCACAGUAAAAGAUACUAGGGCACCACUGGGGCCAGCAACCUUAAAAGGUUUGGCAAACGUUUGGCCUGGGAUUUGUCAUUCUCACUUUGAGGCCCUGCUUUUCAUGCUACUGCUCUGACAGCUUUCUUUGGGGUCCUGCGGGUAAGCGAAUUAGUUGCAAGAUCAUGCAGAGAUGACUCAGGCCGGGUGCUGAUGAUGCAGGACCUGGAGUUAGGGGCAGAACAGGCAAUCUUGCACAUUCGUUUUUCCAAAACGGAUCAAAAGGGUAAGGGGACUAAAGUGCAGUUACUUACCUGUGCAGAUGAGACCUUGUGCCCAGUGAGAGCCCUGCAUCGAUACAUAGAGGUAAGGGGAAGAGACCCGAGAUUCCUUUUUAGGCAUGCGAACUCCCUCCCACUUACAAAAUAUCAAUUUUGGAAGGUUACAUCAAAGGCACUACAAGUUUUGGGCUUGGGUGGGGUCAAUUUUGGAACUCAUUCCUUUCGGAUUGGGGCAGCCUCUACGGCGGUGGCCAUGGGAUUUAAAGACCAAGACGUUCAGCGCAUUGGGAGAUGGCGCUCAAACGCAUAUAGGCGUUAUGUGCGAUUAUUCCCAACAACAAAUCAGUGAUCUUUUGACCUUCUUUUAUUAGUUUACAGAUGCAGACCACUUCGUAGGCGUGUCCUCAUCUGUGGCCAUAGUUUGGUGUUCUGGGCGGAGAGACAUGCUCGACGAAGUUACCUUGGAACCCAGUUGGGUUUGAGUGACCAGGUUAUAGUUGAAUGGUGGGGUAGAAGAGGACUCCGAUGGGGGGGCCUUCUACCAAUGUUAUUCAGGGAGAGGCGGGGACCUCCUCCCGAGAUGUUAAUUGUACAUUUGGGGGGCAAUGAUUUGGGUCUAUUAAAGGAAAAGGCACUAAUUCUUCAAGCCCAGAAAGAUUUCAAUCUCAUUAGGCAACGGUGGCCUGGAGUUCUGAUUGCCUGGUCAGCACUGUUGCCACGACUACGGUGGCUAAGGGAUUGUGAUCCCAAGAAACUCGAUGUGGCCAGGAGGAAGGUCAAUCGGGAAAUGAAAACUGCCAUGGGACGGAGUGGGGGCUGUUUAGUCCCGCACAGAAAAAUUGUGUUCAAACGGCCGGAGUUGUUUAGGGCCGAUGGAGUUCACCUCUCAGAUGAGGGGAAUGUUUUGUUUGUGAGCGAUUUGAAAGAGGGAAUAAAAGAUAUGUUGGCCAGCCUAGUGGGAAAAAGGGACGAGGCAGACGCCGGACCCUUUUAGUGGCAUGUUUAAGGUUAAAUAGGUAUGGUAGGCACCGUGGCACCCCCCCUUAGGGGUGAAGGGUGGACUCCCACAAAAGUCCCCAUAAGUUUUCAUAAAAUGGGAGCUACCCUUGGGGCUGGAUUGAGGGUUCUCACUCUUGAAAGACUCUGUGGUUUGGGAGAGAGCGCCCUCAGGAUGGCCUUCCAACUAUGAUCGGCCGAGGGUGCAGACUAAGAAUUUUGGUCGGCCUUCGGGAUCCUUGGUGCACGCAUGUCCUUGGAGGUGGUCAGAGGGAGUGACACCUGGACCCGGGACGAGGCUCACUAGGUGGCCAUUUACCCAUGAUUUAUGUUUUGGUGUUUUUACAGAUUUUCCCUCUACAGGUUAUUACCAGUUCUUUCAAUAAAUAGGUCAGAAAAUGGCCCUUUAGAUCCA